rnacentral:rRNA from 1 species
UACGGGGGGGGCAAGCGUUGUUCGGAAUUACUGGGCGUAAAGGCUCGUAGGCGGCCAACUAAGUCAGACGUGAAAUCCCUCGGCUUAACCGGGGAACUGCGUCUGAUACUGGAUGGCUAGAGGUUGGGAGAGGGAUGCGGAAUUCCAGGUGUAGCGGUGAAAUGCGUAGAUAUCUGGAGGAACACCGGUGGCGAAGGCGGCAUCCUGGACCAAUUCUGACGCUGAGGAGCGAAAAGCCAG